GACGAACGCUGGCGGCGUGCUUAACACAUGCAAGUCGAGCGGUAAGGCCUUUCGGGUACACGAGCGGCGAACGGGUGAGUAACACGUGGGUGAUCUGCCCUGCACUUCGGGAUAAGCCUGGGAAACUGGGUCUAAUACCGGAUAUGACCUCAGGUUGCAUGACUUGGGGUGGAAAGAUUUAUCGGUGCAGGAUGGGCCCGCGGCCUAUCAGCUUGUUGGUGGGGUAAUGGCCUACCAAGGCGACGACGGGUA
rnacentral:rRNA from 1 species